rnacentral:rRNA from 1 species
UAGGGAAUCUUCCACAAUGGGCGCAAGCCUGAUGGAGCAACACCGCGUGAGUGAAGAAGGGUUUCGGCUCGUAAAGCUCUGUUGUUAGAGAAGAACGUGCGUGAGAGCAACUGUUCACGCAGUGACGGUAUCUAACCAGAAAGUCACGGCUAACUACGUGCCAG